rnacentral:rRNA from 1 species
UACGUAGGGGGCAAGCGUUUAUUCGGAAUUAUUGGGCGUAAAGGGCGCGUAGGCGGCUUGGCAAGUGGAUGGUGAAAUCCCUCGGCUUAACCGAGGAACGGCCGUCCAAACUGCUUCGCUUGAGACCGGGAGAGGUGAGUGGAAUUCCCAGUGUAGCGGUGAAAUGCGUAGAUAUUGGGAGGAACACCAGUGGCGAAGGCGGCUCACUGGACCGGUACUGACGCUGAAGCGCGAAAGCGUGGGGAGCAAACGGGG